UACGUAGGGGGCGAGCGUUGCUCGGAAUCACUGGGCGUAAAGGGUGCGUAGGCGGGUCUUUAAGUCAGGGGUGAAAUCCUGGAGCUCAACUCCAGAACUGCCUUUGAUACUGAGGAUCGUUGAGUUCGGGAGAGGUGAGUGGAACUGCGAGUGUAGAGGUGAAAUUCGUAGAGUAUUCGCAAAGAACACCAGUGGCGAAGGCG
rnacentral:rRNA from 1 species